rnacentral:rRNA from 1 species
GACGAACGCUGGCGGCGUGCUUAACACAUGCAAGUCGAACGGUAAGGCCCUUCGGGGUACACGAGUGGCGAACUGGUGAGUAACACGUGGGUGAUCUGCCCUGCACUUCGGGAUAAGCCUGGGAAACUGGGUCAAAUACCGGAUAGGACCACUGCCUGCAUGGGUGGUGGUGGAAAGCUUUUGCGGUGUGGGAUGGGCCCGCGGCCUAUCAGCUUGUUGGUGGGGUGAUGGCCUACCAAGGCGACGACGGGUAGCCGGCCUGAGAGGGUGACCGGCCACACUGGGACUGAGAUACGGCCCAGACUCCUACGGGAGGCAGCAGUGGGGAAUAUUGCACAAUGGGCGCAAGCCUGAUGCAGCGACGCCGCGUGAGGGAUGACGGCCUUCGGGUUGUAAACCUCUUUCAGCACCGACGAAGCGCAAGUGACGGUAGGUGCAGAAGAAGGACCGGCCAACUACGUGCCAGCCGCCGCGGUAA